UACGUGGGGUGCAAGCGUUGUUCGGAAUUACUGGGCGUAAAGCGUGAGGAGGCGGCUCGCUAAGUCUGAUGUGAAAGCCCUGGGCUUAACCCAGGAACUGCAUCGGAAACUAGCGGGCUAGAGUUCGGGAGAGGGUCGUGGAAUUCUUGGUGUAGAGGUGAAAUUCGUAGAUAUCAAGAGGAACACCGGUGGCGAAGGCGGCGACCUGGACCGACACUGACGCUAAUACACGAAAGCGUGGGGAGCAAACAGG
rnacentral:rRNA from 1 species